UACGAACUGUGCAAACGUUAUUCGGAAUCACUGGGCUUACAGAGUCCGUAGGCGGUCGAGAAAGUUGGAUGUGAAAUACCUCAGCUCAACUGAGGAAUUGCGUUCAAAACUACUUGGCUAGAGAGAUACAGAGGUGAGCGGAACUGAUGGUGGAGCGGUGAAAUGCGUAGAGAUCAGGAGGAACACCCAUGGCGAAGGCAGCUCUCUGGUCGACCUCUGACGCUGAGACGCGAAAGCGUGGGGAGCAAACAGG
rnacentral:rRNA from 1 species